GACGAACGCUGGCGGCGUGCUUAACACAUGCAAGUCGAACGGAAAGGCCCUGCUUUUGUGGGGUGCUCGAGUGGCGAACGGGUGAGUAACACGUGAGUAACCUGCCCUUGACUUUGGGAUAACUUCAGGAAACUGGGGCUAAUACCGGAUAGGAGCUCCUGCUGCAUGGUGGGGGUUGGAAAGUUUCGGCGGUUGGGGAUGGACUCGCGGCUUAUCAGCUUGUUGGUGGGGUAGUGGCUUACCAAGGCUUUGACGGGUAGCCGGCCUGAGAGGGUGACCGGCCACAUUGGGACUGAGAUACGGCACAGACGCCUACGGGAGGCAGCAGUGGCGAAUAGUGCACAAUGGGCGGAAGCCUGAUGCAGCAACGCCGCGUGCGGGAUGACGGCCUUCGGGUUGUAAACCGCUUUCGCCUGUGACGAAGCGUGAGUGACGGUAAUGGGUAAAGAAGCACCGGCUAACUACGUG
rnacentral:rRNA from 1 species